UUCUCUCCACUCUCUCACACUCUUCUCCUCCACCUCCCCACGAGCUGCUGCUCCUCCCAAGCUCCAUGGCCGGCCAUGGCCAUGGAAAUCCACCUAGAUGAAGCUCCCCUCCUCCCUCAAGCUCCUCCUCACCAUGAGAGCAUCCCUCUCACUCUCUUCUCCCCUAACCUUUGAUGAAUCCAGCUCCCUUCCUCCUUUCUCCUCUCACUAGAUUGGAUCUUGAUGCAGGUGCAUGUUGGUCCAAGCAUGGAGAAGGUUGAGCAAUCUUCAGAUCUGAAGUUCUUGAGCAAAAUCCAAAUCGAGUGAUUCAAAGUUCCACAGAUAGGUAUUGAAAAUAUCUACAACUUGGCGUUGGUCUCAUCCUCAAAUUCGUUACGGAUUUUGCAUGAUCAAGAUCUGAUCAGAUCUGACUUUGUCGAAUUAAACCAGGAGCUUGGAGACAAAUUUUUGAAUGAAACCAACUGGG